UGCCAGCCGCCGCGGUAAUACGGAGGGAGCGAACGUUGUUCGGAAUCACUGGGCGUAAAGGGCGUGUAGGCGGUCUGGCAAGUCAGGGGUGAAAUACCACGGCUCAACCGUGGACGUGCCUUUGAAACUGCUGGACUUGAGGCCGUGAGAGGAGACUGGAAUUCCCGGUGUAGCGGUGAAAUGCAUAGAUAUCGGGAAGAACACCAGUGGCGAAGGCGAGUCUCUGGCACGGUUCUGACGCUAAUGCGCGAAAGCUAGGGGAGCGAACGGGAUUAGAUA
rnacentral:rRNA from 1 species